AGGGGCCCCUUUCCUUCCACAGAUUUUGGGAUGUAAUAAAAGAGGCUGGUCCCUAAGUCCCCAAAAGAGUGAAAUUGUUAUUUGUUUAAAAAUGAGAGUGUGGAGGAUGAAGACUUUGACAUGAUCCACGAGGAUUAUCCCACUUCCCAAAAGAUCAAUACUUCACUGAUGUCUGCAGGAGUGCAAUGGCAACCAGGGCUCCCCGGGGAGCACAACCACAGCUCUGCGCUCAGCGCUGGGUUCCCUGAUGACCUGUCCUUCUAGAGACCUGGCCCACAUCGAUCUCAGAGCUAACCACCAGGCCGGUUAGCACUGGAGCUCUCGAGGGCCUACUAUCGGCACAUCUGACUAUGAAUGCCACAGUCAAGCUGAGGCCCGUCUCUCAUUCAGUAUGACCACAGAGAGUCCCAGAUGGGUUCUUAACCAGUUUGUUGAUACAAUAUAAACAGUGUAAUCGCGCUAAGAACUAUUACUGUAUUUAAUCAUCUUUACAAUGCCGUAACACAUAUACACAAAGGAAUACACACAUGAUUAAAUACAUAACUGAGACAUUCUCAUUUUCUGACUAAAACACAAUGUCAAAUGUCUCAAAUGACUUCACCAAACAUCAAUAGCUUGAGUCAAACGAAGUUAGACGACACAACAUAACAUCCCUCAUAACUCACUGACAUCACUCACUAAACUGUAGUGCUCAACAUUUAUUCAUAUUGACAAAAGGAAAUUGGAUUCAAUAAAUCAUCCAUCCCUGUGCUUAUACAUGUCAAGAAGACGUUACGUAUUUCAGCUUAGGGAAAUGUCAAGCAAUCACACCAAUACUUUGUUAAGGUGUAGGUUGUGUGUAUCCUGUACGAGGACAGUGUUUUCAGAAUUGUCAUUUAACCCCAUGGAAAACCUCGACUUGUGCUUAAAUUACUUUUAAAAAUGGUUAUGUUCCUAACUACAUGAAAACUGGCAGUCGAUUUCUGGACUUUGUGCAGAUUACAAUAUAUUGCUCCCCUAUUCCUCCAAUACCUCUAUUAGUCAUGCUAUCAUUCCUUGCCCAAGCUAACAGGAGUGUGUGACACACUGUCACACAGUACAGUUGCAGGGGCUGUGUGUAAGUGAUGCAAUUGAACUGGAGCCUUUGGUCUCA